rnacentral:tRNA from 1 species
GCCUGAGUGGCUCAUUCGGUUAAGCGUCCGACUUUGACUUGGGUCAUGAUCUCAUGGGUGUGGGUUCGAGCCCCGCAUCAGGCU